GCUGGGUGUGGUGGCGCACACCUAUAAUCCCAGCUGCUUGGGAGGCUGAGGCAGGAGAAUUGCUUGAACCUGGGAGGCAGAGGUUGCAGUGAGCUGAAAUUGUCACUGCACUCCAGCCUGGGUGACAGAGUGAGACUCUGUCUUUA
rnacentral:SRP_RNA from 1 species